GCGGACACUUUGGUGCACACCGAGUGCCCGAGCGACACAAACUACACCCGCGGCGGCGUCUUCCAAGCCAACCUCGACGCCCUCCUCUCCUCCCUCCCCGCCGCCACGUCGGUCGCGUCCGGGUUCGCCCAGAACGCCACCGGCGCAGCGGCCGACAAGGCGUACGGGCUCGCGCAGUGCCGCGCCGACGUGAGCGCAUCCGACUGUCGCACGUGCCUUGACGGCUCGGUGCGGGACGCGGCCACCAAGUGCCCCGGCCAGAAAACCUCCAUGCUCAUCUACGACAACUGCCUCCUGCGCUACUCGAACUCAAGCUUCUUCGGCGCCGCCGACACGUCGUCGAUGCUCGGCCUCUGCAACACGGGGAACGUGACGCAGCCCGAGCUGUUCCGGACGCAGCUGGGCGCGCUGAUGAGCAACCUCACCCGCAGGGCGGCGUACUCGUCCCCGCGGAUGUUCGCGGCCGGCGCGGCCGACAUCACGUCCAUCACGAAGGUCUACGGCAUGGCCCAGUGCACGCGCGACCUUGCCGGUGAUGACUGCAACCGCUGCCUCGCCGGACCCGUCUCGUCCAUCCUGACCGCCUGCGAUGGGAAGCAGGGGGGGCAGAGCAUCGCCCGGAGCUGCUCCAUCCGGUACGAGGUGAACCUUUUCUACAACGCCCAGGCCGCCGAGGCGGCGAUGUCCCCGCCGCCACCGCCGCCGCCAGCAGUAAACGGCAGCGAUCAGUCCGGCCCUGCGGGACGCGCCGAAAACGACGACGCCACAGCCAAGAUAGCUCUGUUCGUCUCCAUUCCUGUUGCUGUGGUGCUGUUGGUGCUGUUGACGGUUGCUUUGUAUCUCUGCAAGAGGAAGAACAAGAAACCACACGAACAUGUGCAGAUAUCCAACUACGACAGUGAGGAUGGAACAGACAUGGGAAGCUCAGAGUCUCUGUUGUACCAUCUGAGCACUCUAAGGGCUGCCACUGACAACUUCUCUGAAGAAAAUAAGCUCGGGGAAGGCGGGUUUGGGCCGGUCUACAAAGGCGUUCUGCGGGACGGGCAGGAGAUCGCGGUGAAGAGGCUGUCCAAGACCUCCCAGCAAGGGCUCGUGGAGAUGAGGAACGAGGUUGUGCUGGUGGCCAAGCUCCAGCACAAGAAUCUGGUGCGCUUGCUCGGCUGCUGCAUCCAGGAGGAGGAGAUGCUCCUCGUCUACGAGUUCCUCCCCAACAGAAGCCUCGACAAGAUUCUAUUCGAUCCUGCGAGGCGCCAAGAGCUUACCUGGGGGCACAGGUUCAGGAUCAUCCAGGGGAUCGGGCGAGGCCUUCUUUACCUCCACGAAGACUCGAGGCUGACCAUCAUCCACCGGGACCUCAAGGCGAGCAACAUCCUGCUAGACCCCGACAUGAACCCCAAGAUCUCCGACUUCGGCCUCGCCAAGCUGUUCAGCGUCGACGCCAGCGUCGGGAACACCAGCCACAUCGCCGGAACCUAUGGCUACAUGGCGCCGGAGUACGCCCUGCACGGCAUCUUCUCCGCCAAAUCGGACGUGUACAGCUACGGCGUCCUGGUACUAGAGAUCAUCGCGGGUCGCCGCAACAAUUUCGCCCAAUAUCCGGGCACUAAUGGCGAAGAUCUUCUGACCACGGUCUGGAGGCACUGGAACCGUGGGAGCGUGUCCGGGUUGCUCGAUGGCUGCUCGGCCGACGGGCUCCAGCCGACGGAGAUGCUGCGGUGCAUCCACGUGGGGCUGCUCUGCGUCCAGGAGGACGCGCACCUCCGGCCAGGCAUGGCGGCGGUCGUCGUCAUGCUCAACAGCCGCUCGAUUACGCUCCCUGUGCCGACGCCGCCGGCCUACGUCGUUUCGGGCCGCGCGGGUGCGUUGGGGAUGAGCACGACGCGCGAGGCACAGGCUCCGGCGGGAGCUGUUCGUGGGCCGUAUGUCAACGACGCCUCCGUUUCUGACCUGGAGCCCCGGUGA
rnacentral:rRNA from 1 species